AGAGCCAUUGAAAUGGUUUUAAAAGAAGUAAGCAUGUGUGAAUCCCAUUUUAUCUACCAAGAAGAAGUUUCUAAAAGUGUAAAGACUAAAGCUACAUUGACAGAAAGAAGGACAUUUGUUUCAAUUAUAGGAACAGAUGUCUAGAAAAAGUGCCUCCAAACUGAAAUGUGUUUUCUCAAGGUUAUACCAGGUUUUCAUGGAUGAAGGAAGGGCUGUACUAGUUCAUUAUUUCCAUCGAUCAGCAGACAUUUAUGUUUUCCUGUCCUGUGUAAGAAAGCUUUCAAUUUACGUCCACAAUGAAUCUCAAAAUUUUUCCCCCAACCAAGAUCGACAAAACUUUAGCUAGGCCAUCCCAGAAUUGUUGACUCAAGAGAUUUCAUCCAGAAGUUGUAGUGUCUCAUUUAAACAACACAGAAAAAUCAUUUAAUGCCAGGUUUUCACAGAUAGGAAAGUGACACCUAAAGUGUUUUGCGUUAAAAAAGAAGAUUCAAUUAAGUGUAUGUAUUUAAAAGUUGGUUUAUGGGUUCCUGAUUCGAUUUUUGCAAAAACAUUUUGUAUGUGUAGAAUGUCGCAAAUGUUGUGUAAAAAUGCAAUCCCAACUUACCCCAAUUCAUUGGGCAACUUACCCCGUAGUUGGGGCAAGUUGCCCAUUGAAGGUGUCGCAAUAAAACGUAUUUUUCGGCAAGUAUUUUUCCUUUCCUAAUAAUUUUUUUGACGCUAUUUUUAUGUUAAGAUGAUAAGGUU